ACCCAUGUCUUUUGCGCACUUGUUGUUUCCUGGGCGGGCUCGCCCGCCACCAGGACCAAACCAUAAACCUUUUUUUCUUAUGCAGUUUCCAUCAGCGUCAGUAAAAACAAUGUAAUUAUUACAACUUUCAACAACGGAUCUCUUGGUUCUGGCAUCGAUGAAGAACGCAGCGAAAUGCGAUACGUAGUGUGAAUUGCAGAAUUCAGUGAAUCAUCGAAUCUUUGAACGCACAUUGCGCCCUUUGGUAUUCCAAAGGGCAUGCCUGUUCGAGCGUCAUUUGUACCUUCAAGCUUUGCUUGGUGUUGGGCGUCUUUUUGUCUCUCCUUUGCGGGAGACUCGCCUUAAAACGAUUGGCAGCCGGCCUACUGGUUUCGGAGCGCAGCACAUUUUUUGCGCUUU
rnacentral:rRNA from 1 species